UGGAAUCUUGAGCUCGGUAAGAAUGGAU
rnacentral:piRNA from 1 species